rnacentral:rRNA from 1 species
GAUGAACGCUGGCGGCGUGCCUAAUACAUGCAAGUCGAACGAACAGACGAGGAGCUUGCUCCUCUGACGUUAGCGGCGGACGGGUGAGUAACACGUGGAUAACCUACCUAUAAGACUGGGAUAACUUCGGGAAACCGGAGCUAAUACCGGAUAAUAUAUUGAACCGCAUGGUUCAAUAGUGAAAGACGGUUUUGCUGUCACUUAUAGAUGGAUCCGCGCCGCAUUAGCUAGUUGGUAAGGUAACGGCUUACCAAGGCGACGAUGCGUAGCCGACCUGAGAGGGUGAUCGGCCACACUGGAACUGAGACACGGUCCAGACUCCUACGGGAGGCAGCAGUAGGGAAUCUUCCGCAAUGGGCGAAAGCUUGACGGAGCAACGCCGCGUGAGUGAUGAAGGUCUUCGGAUCGUAAAACUCUGUUAUUAGGGAAGAACAAAUGUGUAAGUAACUAUGCACGUCUUGACGGUACCUAAUCAGAAAGCCACGGCUAACUACGUG